rnacentral:rRNA from 1 species
UACGGGGGGGGCAAGCGUUGUUCGGAAUUACUGGGCGUAAAGGGCUCGUAGGCGGCCAACUAAGUCAGACGUGAAAUCCCGGGGCUCAACCUCGGAACUGCCUUUGAUACUGCGGGUCUUGAGUCCGAUAGAGGUGGGUGGAAUUCCUAGUGUAGAGGUGAAAUUCGUAGAUAUUAGGAAGAACACCGGUGGCGAAGGCGGCCCACUGGAUCGGUACUGACGCUGAGGUGCGAAAGCGUGGGGAGCAAACAGG